GACGUAGGGCGCGAGCGUUGUCCGGAUUUACUGGGCGUAAAGAGCGCGCAGGCGGUCGUUCAAGUCGAGUGUGAAAGCCCCCGGCUCAACUGGGGAGGGUCAUUCGAUACUGAUCGACUGGAAGGCAGGAGAGGGAAGCGGAAUUCCCGGUGUAGUGGUGAAAUGCGUAGAUAUCGGGAGGAACACCAGUGGCGAAGGCGGCUUCCUGGCCUGUUCUUGACGCUGAGGCGCGAAAGCUAGGGGAGCAAACGGG
rnacentral:rRNA from 1 species